rnacentral:rRNA from 1 species
UACGUAGGGACCAAGCGUUGUUCGGAUUUACUGGGCGUAAAGGGUGUGUAGGCGGCUGGACAAGUCUGGUGUGAAAUCUUCACCGCUUAACGGGAAGGGGUCACUGGAAACUGUUCAGCUUGAGUAUGGUAGAGGCAAGCGGAAUUCCUGGUGUAGCGGUGAAAUGCGCAGAUAUCAGGAGGAACACCGGUGGCGAAGGCGGGUCUCUGGGCCGAUACUGACGCUGAGGAGCGAAAGCGUGGGGAGCGAACAGG